UGGGAGGGCCGGAGUCCUCGAGCCUGCAAAGCCUGCUUUAUUCUGCCACCUAAAGGCCAAAGCGUCCCAUGACAGGCACUGCCUCUUCCUCCGUGAGAGCCGCGGCCAGGGAGGGCAGCGGCCAGAGGAAUUUCCACAUAGUCUCCUUCAGGUAAACGGUCCGAUGGCUCCGAGUUUUUCAGAGAUGUGGGGACCGCAGGGAUGUUGCGUCUGAUGGCCACGAGGACCUGACGAUGACAGUACUCAGACUCAGCAGGGGAUCCGCAGCCAGGAGCCCGCUGCUUGGCCUGGAGGGGACACCUGGUGGCAUUUUUGGACUCAACAGACAAGCCCACGGUAGCCCUGGGUCGUAGACACGACCACUGAGGAACCCGCAGCCCAGCAGAAGUGCCGAGUCACGUGGGGAAGUUUGUUGGCAUGACUUCUCUUCCACCUGCGCUCAAUGCACUGCUGAGGGGGGAAAAAAAAUACCAGCUGUCACCCAAGGGACCCAGAGUCACACAACAGCAUGGUCUCGACAAGAUAAAGGGGUGGUUUGUGGUAAGAAUAAGCCCCAGGCUUCUUUCCCUUCAUUCUGGAGGUAAGAAAAAAGGGCUAAAUCUCUUGGCAAAACAAGGCUUUCAAAUACACCCCCACCACCAGCACCAAUUUUCCGAUUUACCAGCAUAUCCAGCCGUCCCCCUGGGACUUCCGGGCUGUGGCCCCCCCCCCCCCCCCCCACAUGAAGCAUCUGUUGGACACCAUC